rnacentral:rRNA from 1 species
CAGUAGCGUAUACUAAAGUUGUUGCAGUUAAAAAGCUCGUAGUUGGAUUUCUGGCUUGACGCGCCUAGCCCGCCGAGGUUUCUCGUGUGAGUGCUGGUGCGCGUCUGCCAUCCUUCUAGUCAACGGCGCUACCCUUCACUGGGCCGGCGUCGCGAACUAGAUCUUUUACUUUGAAAAAUUAGAGUGUUUCAGGCAGGCAAUUGCCCGAAUAUCUUAGCAUGGAAUAAUGGAAUAGGACUUUGGUUCAUUUUAUUGGUUAUUGUAAUCAGAGUAAUGAUUAAUAGGGACAGUUGGGGGCAUUAGUAUUUAAUUAUCAGAGGUGAAAUUCUUGGAUUUAUUAAAGACUAACUUAUGCGAAAGCAUUUGCCAAGGAUGUUUUCAUUAAUCAAGAACGAAAGUUAGGGGAUCAAAGAUGAUCAGAUACCGU